CUUACCCAAAGGAUCAAAUUCAGGCCAUACCGGAUGUGCCCAAAUCAUUUCCAUCUGACGCCCAGGUCAGCCCACGAGGCCUGGCCUUGAGGAGCGGCUCCCAUCACCAAUGAGAAUGCCUGGCCCCCACUGGAAUAUUCCACCAGGGAAACAGUCCGAGGAGAGUGUAAGCAACUUGUCCCAAGUCUCACCAACGUGAGCAGCAGGGCUAGGAUUCCAAUUCACAUUCACCUGACCUCAAAGCCACACUGCAGGAUAUAAGUGCCUAUGGGGCCAUUUUCAAGUGCUCAUGAAAGGAGUGUGGAGCCAAUGAAAGAUUGACAAUGUUUGUUGUGCCAAAUAAGAGCAUUAAAAAAACAACAACGCUACCAUCUAUUAUCAUCAGUUUUCCACAAAAGAAAGGACUUUUUACAUCUAAAAAAAGGUGGGCCCCACCGAAUCAGUUGAAGGCCUUAAGAGAAAAAAGACUGACCUCCUCACAGAAGAGGAAAUUCUGCCUCCAGACAGCCUUUGGACUUGAACUACAACAUCAACUAUUCCCAGGGCCUCCAGCUUGCCAGCCUGCUCUGAAGAUUUUGGACUUACCAGCUCCCACAAUCAUCUGCUGAUCCUUUGCAGAGAAAUCUAAGGACCAGGCCACAAGAGUGAAACCACAAGGUGGAAGAAGCUAGAUUUCCUGAAUGACACGUGGAAGGCAGCCUGUCAGUCAGGGAUACUUUGUGAACACAUGACACUUCGCUGGACAAAAAGGAAAAAUAUCUGGGUGGGAGAAAUAGGGUGGGGCCAGUGAAGCCUGCAUUCCACUAGCUACUGGACUUAGUUGAAAAUAGCAAGCUGUUCUCAAGAACUCUGAAUUAAAGUGCCUCCCUCCCUCACACUGUACUCAGGGGUGCCUUCCUUGAGGAAUUGAAAGCAGAAAGAUGUGGGAGCUAAGAGCUAAGCUGAACAAAAGGAGACAUCAGCAGUGCAAUGCUGGAUCAGACCAGCCUGGGUUUGAAUACUGAGUAGGAAAAUCAUAACAGAGGGAGAGAGAAGAAGCCAAG